rnacentral:rRNA from 1 species
GACACGGUCCAAACUCCUACGGGAGGCAGCAGUGAGGAAUAUUGGUCAAUGGGCGAGAGCCUGAACCAGCCAAGUAGCGUGAAGGAUGACUGCCCUAUGGGUUGUAAACUUCUUUUAUAAAGGAAUAAAGUCGGGUAUGGAUACCCGUUUGCAUGUACUUUAUGAAUAAGGAUCGGCUAACUCCGUGCCAGCAGCCGCGGUAAUACGGAGGAUCCGAGCGUUAUCCGGAUUUAUUGGGUUUAAAGGGAGCGUAGAUGGAUGUUUAAGUCAGUUGUGAAAGUUUGCGGCUCAACCGUAAAAUUGCAGUUGAUACUGGAUAUCUUGAGUGCAGUUGAGGCAGGCGGAAUUCGUGGUGUAGCGGUGAAAUGCUUAGAUAUCACGAAGAACUCCGAUUGCGAAGGCAGCCUGCUAAGCUGCAACUGACAUUGAGGCUCGAAAGUGUGGGUAUCAAACAGGAUUAGAUACCCUGGUAGU